AUUGAACGCUGGCGGCAGGCCUAACACAUGCAAGUCGAGCGGAUGAAGGGAGCUUGCUCCUGGAUUCAGCGGCGGACGGGUGAGUAAUGCCUAGGAAUCUGCCUGGUAGUGGGGGAUAACGUCCGGAAACGGGCGCUAAUACCGCAUACGUCCUGAGGGAGAAAGUGGGGGAUCUUCGGACCUCACGCUAUCAGAUGAGCCUAGGUCGGAUUAGCUAGUUGGUGGGGUAAAGGCCUACCAAGGCGACGAUCCGUAACUGGUCUGAGAGGAUGAUCAGUCACACUAGAACUGAGACACGGUCCAGACUCCUACGGGAGGCAGCAGUGGGGAAUAUUAGACAAUGGGCGAAAGCAUGAUCCAGCCGUGCCGAGUGUGUGAAGAAGGUCUUCGGAUUGUAAAGCACUUUAAGUUGGGAGGAAGGGCAGUAAGUUAAUACCUUGCUGUUUUGACGUUACCAACAGAAUAAGCACCGGCUAACUUCGUG
rnacentral:rRNA from 1 species